rnacentral:rRNA from 1 species
GCUUAGCCUUAAACCUAGAUAUUUAUAUUACAAAAAAUAUCCGCCAGGGUACUACGAGCGCUAGCUUAAAACCCAAAGGACUUGACGGUGUCUCAGACCCACCUAGAGGAGCCUGUUCUAGAACCGAUAAUCCACGUUUAACCUCACCACCUCUUGUUCUCCCCGCCUAUAUACCGCCGUCGCAAGCUUACCCUGUGAAGGACUAUCAGUAAGCAAAAUGGGUAAAUCCCAAAACGUCAGGUCGAGGUGUAGCUUACGGGGUGGGAAGAAAUGGGCUACAUUUUCUGUAUCAGAAUAUACGAAUGGUAUUAUGAAACUAAUACCUGAAGGUGGAUUUAGUAGUAAAAAUCAAAUAGAAAGUCAUUUUGAAUUAGGCUCUGAGACGCGC